GGCUCAGAACGAACGCUGGCGGCGCGCCUAAUACAUGCAAGUCGAGCGAGAAGGUGUAGCAAUACACUUGUAAAGCGGCGAACGGGUGAGGAAUGCAUGGGUAACCUACCCUCGAGUGGGGAAUAACUAGCCGAAAGGUUAGCUAAUACCGCAUACGUUUCCGGGACUUCGGUUCCGGAAAGAAAGCAAUACCGUGGGUAUUGCGCUCAUGGAUGGGCUCAUGUCCUAUCAGCUUGUUGGUGAGGUAACGGCUCACCAAGGCUUCGACGGGUAGCUGGUCUGAGAGGACGAUCAGCCACACUGGCACUGCGACACGGGCCAGACUCCUACGGGAGGCAGCAGUAAGGAAUAUUGCGCAAUGGACGAAAGUCUGACGCAGCGACGCCGCGUGGGGGAUGAAGGUCUUCGGAUUGUAAACCCCUUUCGGGAGGGAAGAUGGAGUGGGUAACCACUUGGACGGUACCUCCAGAAGCAGCCACGGCUAACUUCGUGCCAGCAGCCGCGGUAAUACGAAGGUGGCAAGCGUUGUUCGGAUUCACUGGGCGUACAGGGAGCGUAGGCGGUUGGGUAAGCCCUCCGUGAAAUCUCCGGGCCUAACCCGGAAAGUGCAGAGGGGACUGCUCAGCUAGAGGAUGGGAGAGGAGCGCGGAAUUCCCGGUGUAGCGGUGAAAUGCGUAGAGA
rnacentral:rRNA from 1 species